UACGUAGGGUGCGAGCGUUGUCCGGAAUUAUUGGGCGUAAAGAGCUCGUAGGCGGUGUGUCACGUCGGCCGUGAAAACCUGCAGCUUAACUGUGGGCGUGCGGUCGAUACGGGCAUCACUGGAGUUCGGCAGGGGAGACUGGAAUUCCUGGUGUAGCGGUGAAAUGCGUAGAGAUCGGGAGGAACACCAGUGGCGAAGGCGGCUUGCUGGGCCGGACCUGACGCUGAGACGCGAAGGCGUGGGGAGCGAACGGG
rnacentral:rRNA from 1 species